ensembl:lncRNA
UAAAAAUCUUAUAAUUUUUAUUGUGUUUGUUGAGGAAAACUGGCCCUGAGCUAACCUCUGUUGUCAAUCUUUCUUUCCUUUGCUUGAUGGAGAUUGUUGUCGAGCUAACAUCUGUGCCAAUCUUCCUCCAUUCCAUAUGUGAGAUGUCACCACAGCAUGGCUUGAUGAAUUGUGUGUAGGUCUACACCUGGGGUAUGAACCCACAAACCCUGGGCUACCGAAGCGGAGAGUGUGAACUUAACCACUAUGCCACUGGGCCAGCUCCAAUCUUAUAAUUUUAUAUAUAAAUUAUACUUCAAUAAAGCUGAAAUUUAAAAGAAAGAAAGAAAAUCAAAGAAUCUGCAGUGACAAUGCUUUUUGGAAAUAUUAAGGAAGAGGUCCAAACACUAGCGUGAAGGAUUCAUUAGAUGUUGACAGUUGUAAAGGAAUUCUGUUAGUAUCCACAAUAGGGUGUGUGUCAGUCUUUGUCCAUUUCCAGCAGCCAUUGAUGAGUGAAGGACUACACAGUCUCUCAUGGGUGGCCAUGACUUUCCCCUCUAGAGCCGACCAGAGCUGAUCACCAUGAUCUGGGGAUAUAAUUGUGAUGUUUCUUGGGCUGUAGAGCAGUGAAAAUUACACCGUUGCUAACGAGCAGUCAGGAAAACACCAGAGAACCAAGAAACAUAUGUUUUCUCAGGCUCAAACCUCUGGAGAAUCCCCCUAGAUCCAUAAUGUGGUGAUCAUUCUGAACACUCUAAUAUGCUGAAACCUCUGCCCAGAGUGGUUAGAGGCACAUAGUUUGCAUAUCUUGAUAAGGUUUCUAGAAAUCUAAAGUUGUGAUAACUUUAUUUAGCUCCUUCCAAUGUUAAGAUCUUUUCCUGUCAUACCUCUUUGAUCUAAAAUAUUGCUGUACUGUCAGCUCAUUUCCUUCUCUUUGUGUUACCCAGAGUCUAACACAUUUUUAUCUUCGUGUAUGAAAAGUUAAAUAAAUUAAAGUAAAUCUCUAUGCAUUGUGGCUGCCCCAAAAUGAAAAUCUCAUACGGACCUAGUCACCUCCAUUGAAACCUAACCUAUCUGGUGUCCCAUCCAUUCUCAAGACCUUUAAAUAUUUACUACAUAUAUUAAUUCCUGAAGAUUUGUGUAAAGGCUCUUCAAUCUGAGGUAGCACUUGCAUUUUGGUGGCUCAUUUUGCAGCCUCUACAUCUUAUUCCAAAGAACUAACUGGGAGUUUGAGGAGACACAUUUUAAAGAACCCCAAACACUAUCCUAUUACAUUCUUUUAUCAUGCCUGGAUAAACGUCUACUCUGGCCCACCUAUAAUAAAGAAAGUAGACUAUUUUUUCAACAAAGGUGACUUGACAGUAUUUCCAACCCUUUAUCUUCUGUUCUCUUUCAAGACACCCCUAAGUCACCUAUUCGCACACAUCUCUUCUUUUGGAAAGAAGAGUUAUGAUACAGGGCAAGACUGUACUGAUGCUAAGACUUUCAGACUACUAUUGAGUUUCUUUCCUCAGCGUUUGAUGUUUCACUGGCUGGCUGGCUCAGUAUUCACGAUGCUUUGUCAGUGUCUCAAGUUAUGUUUGGAAAAGAACUUGUCCAAAUUCUCCAUUUCUCCUCCACUCACUGCAAUUGGCGGUGGCAUGGCAAUUCUCUUCAAGGUAAACAUGAAGAAACCCGAAGGCGAUAAUACUCGCCUUUCAGUUGGAGUAAUUACCUGGCCUCUACCAACUGCAGACUUGUGCGUGUUGAUAGGACUCAUUCGACAGGUUCUUUUUUAAAAUAGGUAAUGAUCCUUUAAAGGAUGAAACCCUACUUCAUAACAUGCAAUUUUGCUAACCACUCUGUUUAGAAAACCGGGUUCCCUCUGGUUUCCCAGCGCUGGUAGCUCCGCUUGACGCAUGAAGUUGGGGCUGCCUCGGUCAUGCCACUUUAGAUUACUGGAUCUCACAGGAUGCUACAAGGCAGACACACCCCAGGCUGACUCACUGAGUGGGAAGUUUAAAAAGAUGGUUUUCCUCAGCCAUCAAUUAGAUAAACCACAUUUUCCAGGAGAAAAACAGCAUCUUGAAAAGCUCUUUACAAACAAAGCUCGCUUGCUCAGAAUGCUUUCGGUCAUGUUUUCUUGUGAAGGGAAGUAUGACUUUAACCUUAAUUGCACUUACAAAUUAGCAAGUAAAGUAUAAUGCCACCCUUUCCCCUCUUCCUUCCUUCCUUCUUUUUUUUUUUUUCCUCAGAAGGAGACACUUUCAUGAUUUUAGCUUUGGUAAAAUUAGAGCAUUCUUCCUCUUGGCCACUUCCCUCAAAUUUGUGGUUUUGACCAACCACUUGGUGAGCAAGUUAUAGACGCAGGCCUGAAUUCUCUUUCCUCUGCCCCACUUACAUUUCUUUGUACAGUUUUCCCUACCUUUUUUGCGACCUUCUUGAAAAUACACUGAGGAAAGGACAUUUGUAGAUUGUACCAUUUUGAAAAUGGCGAUUUGGAUUGAAGAUGUAUGUCAGGAAGAAUUAAGCACUGAAAAGCGAUUUGAACCUCCUCGCCUCAUCUUUUUCCAGUGCUGGCUGCACGUGGAAAGUACUGGAUAAAUGUCUCCCACUGAAUUGUAAGAUUCCCAAGGACAAAGGACGUGUUAGUGGUUUCCAUCGCCUGUAUACAGUGUACCUAACACACAUUGAGUAAUAUUUUCAAAAGCAGACCAUCUUCAUCAUGUAAAAGAAUAAAUAAGAGAAACACCACGCAAUUGAAUAUUUUGCACAGAACCUUAUUUCCUUACUCACCUGAAACUUGAGACCAAGGUGACACAGAUAUUCUGGGCCUGAGGACCCCUUGCACGUAAUUUUGAUAGAGACAUCUCUUGGAUCUGAGACCAGUAGGUGAUUAUCACAGUCCCCUUGCUGCACUCCUCUUGUGAGGGAAAGCUGCUGUUGGGUAUGUGGAUGCUAGGGAUCCGGGAACACGAAGGCAUCACCCUGCUUGCUGGUCUUGUAGAACUUUGUCUGCACUGGAGUCAACUUACAGCAGCCAAAGAGAGAAGAGCUGCAGAGACAGACACAAACAGUGAGGAGAACGCAUGUGAGGACACAGCCAUGUGACAACAGAGGCAGAGAUGGGAGUUAUAUAGCUGUAAAUUAAAGAACACAAAGGAUUGCUGACAACCACAAGAAGCUAUGAGAGACAGCAUGGCCCUGCCAAGACCUUGACUCUAGACUUCAGGCCUGAAGAACUGUGAAAGAAGAAUUUUCUGUUAUUGUAAGUCAUCCAGUUCGUGGCAGUUUGUUACUGUAGCCCUAGGAAACUGAGACAGGACCACUUUCACCCUUGGCAGGGGCAGCCAUUUAUUUCAUCUAGAACUGAUGCAUAUUGUGAGUAUAGUUUUCCUUUCCUGCCUGCAGGACCUUGGCCCGCACAACUGAAGGCAUACAGUGAUUGGCCAACACAGAACAGAGACCACUACCUAACAUUGUCUCAGACCAAGGGCCUCACUUUACAGCCAAGAUGGUAUAGCAAUAGACACAUUUCUAUGGGAUCCAAUUGGUCGUAUCACAGAACACUACCAAGCAUAUAGUGUCCUCCUAGAGCAACUGAAUGGCUUUUUGAAGGUACAGCUGAGGCAUCGACUUGAGAAUGAUGCCUUAAAAAGAUGGGAUGCCAUCCUCCAGGAUAUAUCUCUGCAACCUGUAGGUCUAGAGUUCCUGGUCCCCAGAUGGGGAGUGUUUCCACUAAGAAAACAGCUAGAGUUUGAUUGAGCUUUAAACUACAGGUACUGCCCAAUCAGACAAGAAAAGGGGAUAACUGACUUUAAUCAUCUUCAGGAGGAGGUGGGGCUGCUGAUAUACGACGCAGACAAGGAAGAAUACCUUUGGCACCUGUGUGAACCACUAUAUCAUCUCUUGCAACUCCCUUGCCAAAUUUUGACAGUAAACGGACAAGUGCAGGAGCCAUAUCCUAAGAAGGCCAUGAUAAUUAGAUCAGAUCUUUAGGGGAUAAGGGGCUGCGUCAUGCCUUCUGUAAGUCACUGAGACCAACAGAAGUGCUAGUAGGGGGUGAGGGGAAUCUAGAAAAUGUGGUGGAGAAGGGGAAUUAUGAGUUACAAGCUUGAGUAACUUGAGUAAUUAGUUACUUGAGUAAUUAGGUGCAAUCACCAAACUUCCUCUUGUAAAUUUCCCCAGAAAAGAGAACAAGCAGAAUCCCUGUGCUGUAGUGCAGCACCCAAAUCCACCACGGCACUCAUUCCCCGAGCUGCCUGGAGUGUUGACUGCUGACAGGUUAUAGUUGACUCUCUCUGGAAGAAUUGCUUGUUGGCCGAAGGGAGCUGCCUUACCCAAUGUGAUAUCAUAUUCUCUUCGUGGAAGUAGUCCAGAUGCAACAUUUGGUAGAUGUGGGGGUUAAAAGGCCUGGCCCCUUUACCCAAUUUGGGACAUCUUUGAAGAGCCCACCAGCUCCAGAGCUCCCCAUGAUAUCCACCGAGGCCUCUGAUGAACCCGCACCACGGUUCAACUUCUCCCUCUGCCCCACCCUACUUGUCUCACUCCUUCUCAGGUAUUGACUGCAAGGACAUAAACUUCUGCACAUAAAUUCCCAUCUCAGAGUCUGUUUCCCAGGGAACCCAAGCCAAGACAAGGGUUUACUGUGGAACUUUAGCAGCUGAUCCUAAAAUUUAUAUGCAAGUGAAAAAUCCAGGAAUAAUCAAGAAACUCCUUAAGAAGAACAGAGUUGGGAAAUGGGUGGUGGUGCUGGAGGGACCUGCACUAUCAGACAUCAAGACUUAUCUUAAAGAUGUGGGAAAUUAAAUGUAUACCUUUGCAACAGAAAAAUACAGAUAAACAACUAAUGGAGAAGAAUAGAAAACUGAACAGAGACCCAAACGUAGAC